rnacentral:rRNA from 1 species
CCUACGGGAGGCAGCAGUGAGGAAUAUUGGUCAAUGGCCGAGAGGCUGAACCAGCCAAGUCGCGUGAGGGAUGACGGCCCUACGGGUUGUAAACCUCUUUUGCCGGGGAGCAAAGUGCCGGACGUGUGCGGUCUCGAGAGUACCCGGAGAAAAAGCAUCGGCUAACUCCGUGCCAGCAGCCGCGGUAAUACGGAGGAUGCGAGCGUUAUCCGGAUUUAUUGGGUUUAAAGGGUGCGUAGGCGGACGCGUAAGUCAGCGGUAAAAUUGAGGGGCUCAACCUCGUCGCGCCGUUGAAACUGGGUGUCUUGAGUGGGCGAGAAGUACGCGGAAUGCGUGGUGUAGCGGUGAAAUGCAUAGAUAUCACGCAGAACUCCGAUUGCGAAGGCAGCGUACCGGCGCCCAACUGACGCUGAAGCACGAAGGCGUGGGUAUCGAACAGGAUUAGAUACCCGAGUAGUC